rnacentral:lncRNA from 1 species
UUUCCACGGGACGCCCUUCCUGAGAAGGCCCAUAGAGUCAUCAUCAUUUUCCAGUGAGAAGAGCUGUGGCAGCACAGUGCUAUAAUAUCUCUGACAUGUGAAGCUGCUGGGAGCGAAUUCUCCCCACUAAACGACCUUACAUGGUUCAGUAACAAUCUGCUGCAGGAAUCACUGACAUGGAUGACUGUUCUUUGACUUUUAACCUCCAGUGUUGCUCUGGAAGGAUCCACUGUAUGGGGAAGGAAUGAGCUUACUUUCUUGGGCUGAUCAGUCUUUGCCUCUCAGCUGAGAAAGAGAAUUUGACUUGAAAAAAGAAGGAGUAAAAAAAUUGUUGGGGUGAAGAGCUGAUUAAGAGUAGCUG